AUGCUCACCUCAGCAGCACAUAUACUGAAAUUAGAACAAGACAGAGAAAAUUAGUAUGGUAUGCACAAGCAUUCCAUGCAAAUUCAUGAAGCAUUCCAUAUUUUC
ensembl:snRNA U6 U6 spliceosomal RNA